GAUGAACGCUGGCGGCGUGCCUAAUACAUGCAAGUCGAGCGAAGCGGGGACGGGUGAGUAACACGUGGAUAACCUCCUAUAAGACUGGGACAACUUCGGGAAACCGGAGCUAAACCGGAUCCUUAUAGAUGGAUCCGCGCUGCAUUAGCUAGUUGGUAAGGUAACGGCUUACCAGGGCAACGAUGCAUAGCCGACCUGAGAGGGUGAUCAGCCACACUGGAACUGAGACACGGUCCAGACUCCUACGAGAGGCAGCAGUAGGGAAUCGUCCGCAAUGGGCGAAAGACUGACGGAGCAACGCCGCGUGAGGGAUGAAGGUCUUCGGAUCGUAAAACUCUGUUAGUGGUGAAGCGGUAAUCAACCAGAAAGUCACGGCUAACUACGUGCCAGCAGCCGCGGGAAUUC
rnacentral:rRNA from 1 species